AAAAAAAGUUUUCAGACUUCUUCACAGGUUUUUCCAUCAAACAGUAAUAUGCUGCUGGAUGAUGAGAAAUUAUCAAGUCUAGUUCUUUCGAAGGAUGGAUCUAUAAGAAUCUCGAUGUUUAUCCAUUCAAAAGAAGGAUUAUUACAGAAUGCAUGAUACACCAUAUUCCAAAAGAAGGGGAAAAAAUCAUUGACACUAAAUACUAUUACUAUUUGACAGUCUUCAAAUAUAAUAAAAUUUCAACUCUUAGAAUUCAAGUUUAAAUGCAAUUAUGAUUGCCAAGAACAUGGUGAAGGAAUGAAGUAUUCCAAUAACUUGAUGUAUAAUGAAAAGAUAAAAUUCUAAUUAAGGAAAGAUGGCAAAACACGUUGCAGAGUACUAACAUCACUUAUUGUCGGCUGAUG
rnacentral:misc_RNA from 1 species